AUGCAAGGAAUGGUCUUUCAAAAAACUAAGAUUCAUAAAUGUGUGAUUUUAUUAUUGUGUUACUAUAGAGAGCCAAAUAUUUCAUUGAGAAUGUUUAACAGAAGAAAGCAAGAAUGUAAGAAUGUAAACUGGUGACUAUCGGUCGGUAAUGUUGUAUUAUGCAUGUAUCCACAAGAUGACGCUAGCGCUCCAAAUUAAUCUACACAACGGCCAUAGUGCGCAGCUAACAUAAGCCAAGGCAGUGAAUAUUCUACAGCUCAAAAUUAUAAAACUAUAAAGGUUCAAAUCACACAAUGUAACUGCUAUUUCUCUGUGGGACACAGUGCAUAUGUCGGCCAUUUUAAAUAAAUUAAUAGGAUAGGAUUUCUUGCGACACUACGCACAUAUUUCUCAUAUAAGACAUAUCAAGAUGACCAAGCAAUAAACUUUCUAGCGGUUGUACCCUAAACCAAAGGCUAAGAGACAAUAGGUGAGUGUGACACAUUCAUAAAUGCAUGUGCUACCUAGAAUUCCAUUUUGGGGAGGGCCUGAGAACUGCACGAGACGAGUCCGCGCGCGAGAUCUCCGCUCGCUGCUGCUGCUGUCGCACAUGGCACGCGGGUGUGCGGAAUACAGCAAUCGGAACCAGAACUGGACCGCACGAUCGACAAACUUUUUGAGUGUCAGUACGUGCGAUUAUGACCGUGGACAUAAAUCAAACACAGGCUGGGUUGAUACAACGCUCAAACAGUGGAAGUCCAGCCGAGGUAAUAGCCAACACAGCGGCAGAGAGAAAAAGUGACUCAGCUCCUAGAGGAUGCAUGCGUUCGAAGGGUGUAAGCCUGUGGAAUCUCGAGCUGCUCUUUGAGAUCGCCUGAUGUCCCACACGUCUCAUUUGCACUUCACUAUUAUCACAGCAUGUUGGAAACGGUGCAUUUCCCUUCGCUGAGAGCAGAAGAUUAUUUGGGCCAGGACGUCCCUGUGCAAAAAUUAGCCAAAGAGAAAAGCAUGGCCAUUAAAGACCAAAGCGAUAUUUAAAACACUUUACAUACUGAAAUAUAUAUUAAAUACUAUGUACAAUAUAUUAUCUACCAUUUCAAAAGUUUGGGGUCAGUAUGUUUUUAAGAAACUAAUAAUUUUAUAUAAACAUUUGAUAUUAAUUUUAUCAAAAGUGACAGUAAAGACAUUUAUAAUGUUACAAAAGAUUUCUAUUCAUCAAAGAAUGCUGAAAAACUGCAGCACCACAGUUUACAACAUUGAUAAUGUUUCUUGAGCAUUAAAUCAUCAUAUUAGAAUGAUUUCUGAAGGAUCAUGUGACACUGAAGACUGGAGUAAUGACUGAUGAAAAAAAACAACAAAAAAAACCAAACAAACAUUUUAUUUCAGCUAGCUGCCAAGGCGGGUUUAUGGGCGUGUUCACACUUGUAGUUCAGUUCUCUUGGUUCUUUUAGUCUGGACCAAAAAAAGAAAACAAUACAUUUAGUCCUGGUUUGCUUAACAUUCAUACUGUCAUUUUUAACACCAACUUAAACAUACAAAACAAACAAAAGGCUUUUAUGACGUAUAUUUUGCGACAAAACUUGUCGAACAUCCAAAACAAUGCUGUGUGCUGGGCUAAAUGCUCUCGCUGUAUGUGCGUACCAGGGGAAUUCCCUCCAAAGAGGCAAGGAAGGCAGUGCCUCCUCAAAAAUAAUAGCCUGAGAAAACAAUCCAUAUUACAAAAGCAAUGCAAAUAUUACAAAAUGUGACAUUAAAAAGUGUAUAAAUCACUAGUUAUUCUAAAGUAUCACUGUUUAACAGCGACACCAGCAGGUAAAGUAACAGCGGGACGGUGCAUCUUAUGUGCCUCCCCUGAGCCCAUUGACUUUUAACAGACCCCUAAAAUGUGCGGUGGGUUUAGUGGGGGGUAAUUGAGAAUGAAUGGGGGGGAAAAAAUCACGUGUGAGUAGGCAAAAUUUAGCUUUGACAUCAUAGGAAAAAAUUUCAUUUUAAAAUAUAUUUAUAAAGAAAAUAGUUAUUUUAAAUUGUAAUAAUAUUUCACAAUAGUACUAUAUUUUUGAUCAAAUAAACGCAGCCUUGGUGAGCAGAAGAGAAAAAUUUAUUUCAAAAACAUUACAAAAUCUUACUGAUCCCAAACUUUUGAACGAUGGUGAACAUUCAGCUCUUUUCUUGGAAAUAUUUUUUAUCAAUUGAUUUAAAAUGUUAAGCAAAUGAAUUGCAUUAAUUAAUCAAUACCAAUAUUUGCUGGGGAUAAAAAACCCAAAUGAAGAUAAUUCAAAGACAUUAUUGUAGCAGACAAAUAAAGAAUUGAAUGUCAUUACAAAAAGUG